CAGCCCUACGGGGGGCAGCAGUGGGGAAUUUUGGACAAUGGGCGCAAGCCUGAUCCAGCUAUUCCGCGUGUGGGAUGACGGCCCUCGGGUUGUAAACCACUUUAGUAGAGAACGAAAAGGAGCUAUCGAAUAAAUAGCUCUGCUGACGGUACUCUAAGAAUAAGCACCGGCUAACUACGUGCCAGCAGCCGCGGUAAUACGUAGGGUGCGAGCGUUAAUCGGAAUUACUGGGCGUAAGGGUGUGCAGGCGGCUGAGUAAGAAAGAUGGGAAAUCACAGGGCUUAAGCUGGGAACCGCAUAUGGGG
rnacentral:rRNA from 1 species